rnacentral:rRNA from 1 species
UUCUUUUAGAAUUUUUAAAAGUAAACCCUGCUCAGUGAACUUUUAACAGCCGCAGAUCAACUGUGCUAAGGUAGCAUAAUAAUUUGCCUUUUAAUUGAAGGCUAGAAUGAAUGGGAUUACAAUAAAUUAUCUAUCUCUUUUCUUCAUAUUGAAAUUAAAUUAAUAGUAAAAAUUCUAUUAUGAAUAAAAAGGACGACAAGACCCUAUCAAACUUCACUAUAGUUAAACUGGGGCGGUAAAAAAAAAAUUCUUUUUUUAAAUUUAUCUAAUUACUUAAUUAACAAGUUACUGUAGGGAUAACAGCAUAAUUUUUUUUUAGAGCUCUUAUCAAAAAAAAAGAUUGUGACCUCGAUGUUGAAUAAAUUUCCUAAUUCACGAAACCAUGAAUAUAGUAAGUCUGUUCGACUUUUAAAAAUUUACA